UUAUCGCGUCUGCUAUGCAUCCAGUGCACA
rnacentral:sRNA from 1 species